CUACACCUCUAAUCCGAACUAAUAAUCCUGAUAUUAUUGAUCUAACCCCGAUUAGUCCAUUACUAGCCUAAAGGUACUAACAUCUAACUGUUAGUCACUGGGUACUAUCCUGGCCGCUGGUCUGACCUGGUCACCUAUUACAGUAGAAGGUCUUAAUUAAUGGUACAGUCUAUUACAGUAGAAGGUCUUAGUUAAUGGUUACAGCCUAUUACAGUAGAAGGUCUGGUCUUAGUUAAUGGUUACAGCCUAUUACAGUAGACGGUCUUAGUUAGUGGUUACAGCCUAUUACAGUAGAAGGUCUUAGUUAAUGGUUACAGUCUAUUACAGUAGAAGGUCUUAGUUAAUGGUUACAGCCUAUUACAGUAGAAGGUCUUAGUUAGUGGUUACAGCCUAUUACAGUAGACGGUCUUAGUUAGUGGUUAGUCUAUUACAGUAGAAGGUCUUAGUUAAUGGUACAGUCUAUUACAGUAGAAGGUCUUAGUUAAUGGUUACAGCCUAUUACAGUAGAAGGUCUUAGUUAGUGGUUACAGCCUAUUACAGUAGACGGUCUUAGUUAGUGGUUACAGUCUAUUACAGUAGAAGGUCUUAGUUAAUGGUACAGUCUAUUACAGUAGAAGGUCUUAGUUAAUGGUUAUAGCCUAUUACAGUAGAAGGUCUGGUCUUAGUUAAUGGUUACAGCCUAUUACAGUAGAAGGUCUUAGUUAAUGGUUACAGUCUAUUACAGUAGGUCUUAGUUAAUGGUUACAGUCUAUUACAGUAGAAGGUCUUAGUUAAUGGUUACAGCCUAUUACAGUAGAAGGUCUUAGUUAAUGGUUACAGCCUAUUACAGUAGAAGGUCUGGUCUUAGUUAAUGGUUACAGCCUAUUACAGUAGACGGUCUUAGUUAGUGGUUACAGCCUAUUACAGUAGAAGGUCUUAGUUAAUGGUUAGUCUAUUACAGUAGAAGGUCUUAGUUAAUGGUUAGUCUAUUACAGUAGAAGGUCUUAGUUAGUGGUUACAGUCUAUUACAGUAGAUGGUCUUAGUUAAUGGUUACAGUCUAUUACAGUAGAAGGUCUUAGUUAAUGGUUACAGUCUAUUACAGUAGAAGGUCUUAGUUAAUGGUUACAGUCUAUUACAGUAGAAGGUCUUAGUUAAUGGUACAGUCUAUUACAGUAGAAGGUCUUAGUUAAUGGUUACAGUCUAUUACAGUAGAAGGUCUUAGUUAAUGGUUACAGUCUAUUCCAGUAGAAGGUCUGGUCUUAGUUAAUGGUUACAGCCUAUUACAGUAGACGGUCUUAGUUAGUGGUUACAGUCUAUUACAGUAGGUCUUAAUUAAUGGUACAGUCUAUUACAGUAGAAGGUCUUAGUUAAUGGUUACAGCCUAUUACAGUAGAAGGUCUGGUCUUAGUUAAUGGUUACAGCCUAUUACAGUAGACGGUCUUAGUUAGUGGUUACAGCCUAUUACAGUAGAAGGUCUUAGUUAAUGGUUAGUCUAUUACAGUAGAAGGUCUUAGUUAAUGGUUAGUCUAUUACAGUAGAAGGUCUUAGUUAGUGGUUACAGUCUAUUACAGUAGAAGGUCUUAGUUAAUGGUUACAGUCUAUUACAGUAGAAGGUCUUAGUUAAUGGUUACAGUCUAUUACAGUAGAAGGUCUUAGUUAAUGGUUACAGUCUAUUACAGUAGAAGGUCUUAGUUAAUGGUACAGUCUAUUACAGUAGAAGGUCUUAGUUAAUGGUUACAGUCUAUUACAGUAGAAGGUCUUAGUUAAUGGUUACAGUCUAUUCCAGUAGAAGGUCUUAGUUAAUGGUUACAGUCUAUUACAGUAGAAGGUCUGGUCUUAGUUAAUGGUUACAGCCCAUUACAGUAGAAGGUC